CAAAAUUGAGGCAGAUCGUGACGAUGGGCUCCCAGGACACGCUGGAAGAAAAAACCGUAACCGUUUGCUGUGCGAAUGACUUUGUAAAUAUCGCUUUCAUAAAUUUUUGUUGUACGAGAAAAGAAAUCGCCAGGCUGUGGACUGAAUCUCUCAUAAGUUUAGCUUAUAAUUUGAACCAAAUCAAUGGCACAACCAAGAUGUAUUUAUUCAAAGCGUACACCAAAUUGAAUUUGAUUAGAGACAAGUCUGGAAAUAUACCGGUAAAGAACGUAUUGAAAAUGUUCGCACAAAAUAAAGAGGACAAAAAACGAAUAGAAUCGAUACUGCACGCUUUGGGAUUUUCCACGGGGAAAACGGACACUAUCAAUCCGGAAACGUUCGACUUCGAAAUGUUUUUCAAUUUUUAUGUUCAGCUCACGAAGAGGACGGAAGUCGAGAAAGUUUUCAAUGAAAUAGUUGGCGCAAAAAAGGUAAUGACUUCCCACCAGUUCGUGGAGUUCUUGAACAAAACUCAAAGGGACCCCCGACUGAACGAAAUCCUUCAUCCCUACGCGGACGCAACCAGAUCGAAAGAUGUGAUAGCCCUCUACGAACCGAACAAAUACAACGCCCAGAAAGGCCAGCUCUCCUUUGAGGGCUUCCUGCGUUAUCUUCUCUCUGAAGACAAUAACAUCAUGGCGCCUGCCAAAUUUGAUCUCAGCCACGAUAUGGAUCAACCGUUAGCACAUUAUUUCAUCAACUCGUCGCACAAUACUUAUUUGACUGGCCAUCAGUUGACAGGGAAGUCCAGCACCGAAAUGUAUCGACAGUGUCUGUUAGCUGGAUGUAGAUGUGUGGAACUAGAUUUUUGGAAUGGCAGAACCGAGGAGCCCAUAAUAGUCCAUGGAUAUACUUUUGUACCUGAAAUAUCAGCAAAAGAGGUGCUAGAAGCGAUAGCUGAAAGUGCUUUCAAAACAUCAGAUUAUCCAGUAGUCCUGUCCUUCGAAAAUCAUUGUAAUCCACGUCAGCAGGCGAAGAUUGCGAACUAUUGUAGAGAGAUAUUUGGUGAUAUGCUUCUAGAAUCUCCCUUGGAAUCUCACAAGCUGGAACCUGGAAAUCCUCUUCCCCCACCAUCGUUAUUGAAAAGAAAAAUAAUAAUAAAAAAUAAGAAAAAACAUCACCAUCAUCACCAUCACAAAAGGAACGUUACUCCAUCGCCAGAAGUUCAGAAUGUAGAGAAUACAACAAAUGGCGAAGCACCUAGACAUGCUCCUCCUUUACAAACCAGACAGGGAUCUAAAGAAUCGACUGGAACAGAAGAAGACGAUUCUUCGAGUGACGUCGAAGAAGGAGAAACCCUAGAGGCGGAUGUUUCCUCUGAAAACAAUACUGAAGAAGGUGGUGAUAACAAACCUGUUCCCGCUACGGAAACCGAGGCUGGAGCUGAAAUAUCAGCUUUGGUUAACUAUGUACAGCCUGUUCACUUUUCGAGUUUCGAAAAUGCCAAAAAAAAAAACCGCAGCUACGAAAUGUCUUCGUUCGACGAAAGACAAGCCACGUCACUUCUCAAGGAGUACCCCAUACAGUUCGUCAACUACAACAAGCACCAGUUGAGCAGGGUCUACCCCGCCGGUACCCGUUUCGACUCGUCCAAUUUCAUGCCUCAGGUGUUCUGGAACGCGGGUUGCCAGCUAGUCGCCCUGAACUACCAAACGCUAGAUUUGGCGAUGCAGUUGAACUUAGGAAUCUUCGAAUAUAACUUCAGGAGCGGCUACUUACUUAAACCGGAAUUCAUGCGUCGUACUGACAGGAGAUUUUACCCUUUCGCCGAGUCAACUGUGGACGGUAUAAUUGCCGGUACCGUUAAAAUAACUGUGAUAUCUGGACAAUUCUUGACUGAUAAGAGAGUAGGGACUUACGUUGAGGUGGAGAUGUACGGGUUACCGGCGGAUACUGUUAGGAAAAGAUUCAAGACGAAAGUUGUGCAGAAUAAUGGCAUCAAUCCAGUUUAUGAUGAAGAACCGUUUGUGUUCAAAAAGGUGGUGCUACCAGAUUUAGCCUCGAUUAGAAUCGUAGCAUAUGAAGAGUCCGGAAGAUUCAUCGGUCAUCGAAUUCUGCCAGUUGUUGGCUUGUGCCCGGGCUACCGACACGUCAACUUACGAACCGAAAUCGGACAACCUCUCCCUUUAGCAACACUAUUUUUGAAAGUUGUCGUUAAAGACUACGUUCCAGAUGGAUUGUCGGACUUUGCAGAAGCGCUGGCAAACCCUAUCAAAUACCAAAGCGAUUUAGAAAAACGAGCUCAGCAGUUGGCGGUGCUUACGGAUGAUAUGGAGCCUGUGGAAGGGGGAGAUGAACAAAAGCGAAACACCUUGACUAGAGGCAAUAAGGAAGUGACAACGAAUGGUAGUCCAGCACAGAGGCCUUCCAUAACAGGUGGGAGUACUUCUGUUGAAUCCACGACCGAUAACGAUGUUCUUGUUGCAUUUCCUGCUCUGUCAUCUUCCACUAUAGCUGUGGAAACGAAUACACUUUGCAAAGUUCCUGAAAUCAAAGAGGAAAAAAUUGAGGACUUGAUAGCCGAACCGUUAGAGAAAAUUUUGGAAAAUAAAGUUGUGAGGGAGAAGAAACUUGAAUUGGAAAAGAAAUUGGAGAACUUGAGGAAGAAGCACGAGAAAAAGAAAAUGUCUUUAAAUUCGCAGAAAUCAACUGAUUUCUCAGAAAAAAAGUCGAAAUUAGUCAAUAUGAAGCUUGUGAAGAGGUUAUCUAGCAAGAGCAUCGUUUCUUCUGUUUUCUAUACUGAAUCUCCCAGCGCCGAACCACUAACCAACGUAGCGGACGGUCCAGAAAUUAGUGGAAGUGACGGAGAAAAACCUACCUUACCUAGGAGUCAUUCAGAGCGACUUCUGGCAAUGAAUAAGGAGUUCGUCACUCAGGAAAAAGAACUCAGGGAAAAAUAUCACGAGGUCAUUUUCAAUACCGCGGAAAAGGUCAUGAAGACGUCUCAAUCGAGUCAGGUUAAAACAUUGAAGGAACAAUUCGAAAAGGAAACAUCAGAGCUGAUGAGAAAACUGCAGGCCGAUCAUAGGGAGGAAGUCAAAGCCUUAGCGAAGAAACAUCGAAAUAGGGAACAAUUCACUAGAGUCAAAAGAGAAGCAGUUACUGCCGUAGUUGGCAGAGGAGUCUCCGAACGAGAAAAAUUAGGACAGCUGUUCGAAAACCGGAAAGAAGAAUUGCUAAGGCAGCACGAACAUAUUAAGGAACUUCUGCUGGAGCAAAGAGAUAAGGCCAAGACUGCGCUCUGCAAAGAAUUCGAAACACGUCUUGCUAGAGUUGAGGGAGAGUCCAGCGAUGUUCAGUAGGUGGAAGAGUAGAUCCUAACCUAACUUCAUUUCAGUAUUGAGUACUCGAAUAGAGAUUGACUCCUCUGAAGAAGGAGAUCCGACGACGAUAAAAUACUCAUUUUGAACGGGACGAACAAAAAAUACUCUUUGAGAUGUUAUCGACAAUCAAUUGAAGAUCCAUUCAUUUGGUAUUAGUUUCCUAGGACUUGUUACUAGUAUAUUCUGUACUGUAUUUAGAGAGUAACGUGGUGAAAUUGACAGACGGUUCGGAAAAUGGAACGGUGCCAAAAUGUUGUUGCUGUCAAUUGUCGCGAGGACUGUCAUUCACUCAAUGCACUCUAAUAUGCAUCGAUGUUUGUUGUUAUUUGUGAUAGUAGAGAUUAGUUAUUACAUUAGUCGAAGUGAUAUAAAAUAAAAGAAGCUUAAAGAAUAGUCAAAACACUUGUGCCAUUUGAAUUUUGUUAUUCGAAUUGAUUUCAUAGAUCGAUGGGUUGACGAAAGUGUGGUUAGGGGCUUUACAGUGGUUCAGAUUCGGGAUAAACGAUUCCAGUCCAAUGUUUACGCCCUAAUUUUUCAAAAUAAAUAAUUCGGAUAUUCCUUAGGGCAUAUUGGAUGGUAAUGGUAAUUAUUUAUAAUCAUACAAAUAUAGUUAUACCGGGUGGCAACGAAGUUAUUGUACAUAGCACCAUUCACUUGUUUCUAGAAUAUGAAAUUUGAAAUUCGGAAAGAACGUACAGUUUCUAAUUAAAAAACAACUGGAAACCUAUUUGGGUCUAACAGGAAAUGAAUACUCAAGAACUUCGAAUAGAGCCCUGUAUUUUAAGAUCGUUUUGAUAAGUCACGCAAGUGAAAUAUUUUCUUUCAAAAUAGCGCCUAAGGACGUAGGAGCCAUUUUCUCUAAAUUCAAUACGGCGGCGCUGUGACGUCAUCUAUGAACUUUCCUUGUAAAUGCAUGACGAGAGCGGUACCAAAAGUGUAAUAAGGCUAGGUGGACGGAAGUUGAGAGGGAGGUUAGUUAGUGAAGAUAGAAGGAGAGAGAGAGUUCCGUUUCGUUCACUACUGAAGGGUUCAGAGAGAGAGGGGUAAAAAUUUAUCUUAACGGAUCGCCGCUAGAGGGCUACCUUGUAUAUGAAUCGACAUAACUUUUGAUUUUGAGUCGAUUGACAUGACCCCUAGCGUCCGGAAAGGUCGAAUAAAAAAGUCGGAGAACGCUAUAUCAGCGUUGCCCGGGUGUUGGACGAUUCCGAUGCCCGAAGUAUAGGCAAAAAGGGGUAAACAUUCGUCUUAACGAAUCGCCGCUAGAGGGCGACCGAAUACAUUUGAAUCGAUUGACAUGACCUUCAGGAUCCGCAGAGGUCAAAUGACAAAGUUGUUCCAAAUGGCUUAAAAACACUAUAUUUCCAUGAAAAGAGGCUCCGCACCUGAUCUAACCUAACCUACAUAACCUAACCUAACCUACCUAACCUAACCAACCUAACCUAUCUAACCUAACCUAAAGAUGCAAGCACAUAUAUGCGGUCGAGUAGGCUCUGAAUGAUUAGAAGGAAACUAUCAUACAUUGUCACUAAUUUUAGCAGGAGAUUUCAAUGUUGAUUUCGCGUCCGAAAAUGGACAACUUUUGGUAAACUUUCUACAAGAUAAAUCAGAAUAACAAUGGAACAACAAUCGAUGCAGUCUUGUUCUUCGUGAAAGUAUAUUUUCGUAGGUUUUCAAUUAUUUAAAAUUCUUGCAUUGAGUUUAUUUCCGGUUGAACUGGAAUAGGUUUACAAUUGUUUUUUUCAUCAGAAAUAUCAGCUCGAAGCAACUAUACCUUCGUUUGUUUAUUCGAAUUUCGUACCCCAUAAACAAAUGAAUUGAGUCGUUUACAAUGAUUUGGAUGUCACCCGGUAUAAAGGCCAAUAUUUGGAAAGCUAUGUUUUGACUAUCAUGCCUUUUCAUCAGUUUGAAACAGGUGUAAUUUUGACUAUCAUGCCUUUUCAUCAGUUUGAAACAGGUGUAACUCACUAUGACAUCAAUGAAUAAUUAUUAAGUAUAAUUCAUAUUUUUCGAAAAUUUUUGCGUAAAUCAUAUAAUGUUUACUUUCUACUCACAAUUUUCAGUUAAACACAGCAUCAAUCAUGUUUUGCAUUACCUUGUCAACCGUCAAAACAUUCAUAUCAACAUUUAUGUUAUUUCUCUUCAAUUGGAAUGGACUCCCUUAGCUUCUUUUUUACUUCGAGGUCCACAUUUGAGAAACCUUUUAUAUUGACUAUUUUUUCUAAAUUGUUUUUACUAAUCUAUUUGAUCACAAAUUGGACAGGGAGUACGUCGUAAUUCUGAGCCACUGUAGCUCAAGGAAUAAUUUAUUUUUUUUGCUGAUGUUUGUACAAUACAUAAUGGAGUAUUAUGUAGCAUAGGAGUUAUUAUCUAGUGAAAUAUAGAUGAAUAUUAGAUAGUCGGGUAUAACUUAUUUCUACACUCAGUUCAGUAUUCUUAUUUACUUCAUCCAAACUCACUUUUCUUGUUAUCAUUCUACCAAAGGACUUUGUAGAUGUGUAAAGAUUGAUUACUUCAUCUGAAAAUAGCUCAUCUCAUCAUAAUAGAUACCGCGGAAGAUGCAAAUUGAAGGGAUAUAAAAUAGAAAUCACAGACAUAUUGAUAAGUAGUAGAAAUGAACGGAAUUUAAAUAUAUUUUGACAAUCAAAAAGUAUUACUUCAUAAAAAAAUCACAAUACUUUUAGGAAAAGAAGUAAUUUAUAAAUAUGCCAUUUAUUGACAUUUCAUGUCAAAACUCAAUCAGAUAAAUUAAUAAUUCAGGCAAAACCAGUCGAUUUUAAAAAAACAAUAUAAUCUUACUUUUUAUAAAAA